UACGUAGGGUGCAAGCGUUAAUCGGAAUUACUGGGCGUAAAGCGUGCGCAGGCGGUUCGUUAAGACAGAUGUGAAAUCCCCGGGCUUAACCUGGGAACUGCAUUUGUGACUGGCGGACUGGAGUAUGGCAGAGGGGGGUAGAAUUCCACGGUGUAGCAGUGAAAUGCGUAGAGAUGUGGAGGAAUACCGAUGGCGAAGGCAGCCCCCUGGGCCCAAUACGUGACGCUCAUGCACGAAAGCGUGGGGAGCAACAGGAUAGAU
rnacentral:rRNA from 1 species